GUGUGUGUGUGUGUGUGUGUGUUUGUGUGUGUGUGUGGUGUGUGUGUGUGUGUGUAAAUUUCUGUGCAUGUGUGUAAACUACUAAACACAUUCAAAAUAAUGGAUUUGAUGAAUAUUGUUUUCUCACAAGGCCACACCAGUGUACCGCUAGCGCUUAUAUUAUCAACUGUGAAAAGGUAAAUGCAAAGGUCAGUCCCGUUAGUAUGUGAACCCAGAAUAUUAACGGACUUAAAUAAAUGUCCCUACCAGUUAUGGUAGCACUAUCAUUUCUGCCAAUGCAGAACUCUUGUCUUAAUAAAUAUUAAGAUGUUUAAAUACCUGAAAUGCUCCAUUACAAAGAAAGUGGUAUUUACAAGUUAAAAAAAA